GCUGCUUCCUGGGAGGUGGUGCUCGCAAACCUGGCAGCUGACUGGGUGGGGCGUGCCUUCCCUGGCAGUCGCGGAGGGGAAGGCUGAGGGACCCGGUCCCCGCCCCGCGUGCUCAGGCUGAACAGCUUUUCUUCCCUGAUCUCUCGGAGGCGCCGGCUGCUGGCCAACGCAGGGCAGCCUCCUGCGUGCGUGCUGUGGGUUUCUCCUUCAGUUUCCUCUCAUUGCCUGAGGUUGGGCCCGAACACGGCGGUACAUUUCCUUGAGAGUCUUCUACAUUCAUGCUGUAGAAGCUAUGAAAGUCGUGGGAAACUAUAGAGUCAACACUGCAAACUCAAGCACUGAUACGUCCGGAGAGCACUUGACCUGCCUUAGAAGUCAGCUCUUUGUAGCCUACAGAAAUGGAAGAGUGGAUGAAGCAGUCUCUCUGGGUUUUCUGGAUUGCUGGAUAGGUGGAGACCUGACAAAUUUCAAAGGCUGCUACCUGACUAACCAACUGCCUAUUCAGAUUUUUACAGCCAUCUUCGACAUGAACACGGAUGUAAUCAUACUCUCACAAUUCAUGUACUACAGGUUAAAGAAUCAGAAGAAAAAAAUUUCUGAAGAAGAUCUACGGAAGGAACUUCAUUUCUGCUGUUUGCAUUGGCCAUGAUUGGGAACUUCACGUAUGGACUUGGUGUGGUUUUAAAGGCACCAGCUGCUACGUGUCACAAGAAUACUUACUUUGUGCAUCAUCUUCCUUGGCUUAUUGCAAGUUUUGGAAUCUUAUUCCUUAACUCUUUUGUGUCUUUUGCCAUCAGAUUGCCAUUAGAGAAUAAACAUGUAUAGCUACUUAAUAUAUCACCCAAAAAGUACAUAUAUAUAUAUAUAUAUAUAUUCUAAGAAGUGUAAAUAGCUAAUGCUAUAGUCAUUUCAUUAUUAUAUUUGAAAUGUUCAUUUAUAAGGAAAGUCUUCUCUCUCCCAAAGUCUCCUAAUUAUUAUUAUUCUAGCAAACGAUCAAAUUCAGAUGAAGAUUUCUUGGUUUCUUUGGUUCUUCUGAUAAAAAAAAAAAAGUGGGGCCAAGUUUAGAAGCAUUGAAAUUAACACAUCUUAGAUAUUAAAUUUUAUUAAAAUUAUAAUAGCAGAUAUUAAGAAAAAACCAUACCAUCUCUGAAAAUCUCUACAGAGAACACUUUGAAUUAAUAAAUGAUAACUGAUGCCUUGC
ensembl:lncRNA SLC66A1L solute carrier family 66 member 1 like (pseudogene)